GUACUUACCUAGCCAGAGACAGCACAGCAGAGAAGGCGGCUUUCUAGGGGAAGGGUCAUCCAUUGCACCUGCAGCAUGCUGACCUCAGCAAUUUCCCAUAAUUUGGGGAAACUCAAUAAUUUGUGGUAAUGAGGGACUGUGUUCCGGCUCUGGGGGUGGACACAGCUUUGU
ensembl:snRNA U1 U1 spliceosomal RNA